rnacentral:lncRNA from 1 species
AUAAAUAAAAGGUGUUUUAUUUAUGUUCAAAGGGUUGAUACCAUAUUGGAUUCAAUUAUUAUUGUGUUUCAUUUUGCAUGUUUUGACUUCCCGAAUAAACUGGGUUAUUCUUCCGGAAUGACUAAGUUAUUCAAACCAUCCACAGUCGGUCAUAUGUUGGAAGUAGAUAUGAAUUAAGACUGUCAUGGGUUGGCUUGUAGAGGUCUAAGGUGUUGGACAAAGGGCUACAACACUCAUGAGUGCUCAUAAGUUCUGAGUAUUGGAUUCAACCCGCGCUCAUUGGAAUCACUUCAUGGAUUUUAUCACGAGUGAUCAUGAGACGAUAAUAUCUUAUAUUCUUCAAACCUAGAGAUAUGAGUUGUUACUAUGAGUUGAUAGUACAUUGAUUGCACGAAAACGCAUUUGGUAACUCGGUGCUAUAAAACGUGCCUUUGUGUAUGAUUCAACAAGUAGUAGAACAAGCCAUAUGAGUCGAAGUUUAUCCAUUCCUUUUACCUUCGGGAUAAAAGCGAUAUCUGUGGGCCCCUCGAUGAUUUGAUGAUGACAAAUGGAAGUGCUCGGCCGGGCCAGGACUGAUUUGAUUUGUUCAAUUAGUCAGUCGUCAUAAAUCGGAAAUCGGGAAACAACAAAUGGACAGAGAGAAUGAUUAUAAUCCAUGUCUCAGUCCAUAUGAUAUCUAGAAUGGAGGAAUAUAUGAUCCCUUAUCUAAUGGACAAGUCAUUGACAAAGGUCAGAGUUCAUCUACAAGGUCAGAGUUCGACAGAAGCUUUUGAGAGCUACGAUUGCCAGUUGGUUCCUGAAGUCAUACGCAAUAAUAGUUUUAGACUUAUCCAAGUGGGAGACUGUUGGAUUAAUGUCUAAGUCCAUAACUAUAAUUGGUAAGACUUGACCCGACCCGGCAUGGUCCAUUUGGGUUGCAUACCAUCAUGCACUUGGAUAGACUAUAAUGAGAGAAAUAAGACACUUAUGGUUAUUAAUAUAUUAUAAGUUCUAGUAUAUUAAUAAUAAGAAUAAUAAGAUUAUUUAAUUAGUAUUGAUCAAGAAUUAAUCUAGGAUUAAUUAAGUGAUCAAAAGAAGACUAAUUAAAUAUAUGGGUUGAUUGUGUAAAUCAUCCAUACUUGUAUAGUGGGCUAAUGCUCCAUGGAUAAUCAAGUUGGGCUAAAACCCAUAGGAUGGUCCAUGGAUGCUCCAUGGUGUAUUUGUACCCAUGGAUCCAAGGAAAUGGAAAGCCAUGACAAUUAAGAGUUUACCCUAAUUGUGUAACUAUAUAAGCAUCUUAUUAUUGAGGAAAAAUCGGCCACUAGUGAUAGUGAAGAAAGGGCUAGCCGAUUUUGAAGAGUGUAGAAUUCUCUCAAGUCAUUCCAAGUGUUUUGAUGAUUGUGAUUCCAUUUGAGGUGUCACACUUGGGGCACUAGGCACUCAAGCUUCAUGAAGACUUUCUACAUCAAAGAGGUAUGUAUUCUAUCUUGUUAUAGUCAUUGUUUUGUAUGCUAGAUUAGGAUAAUACCUUGGAAGUUCUUAUUUGCAUGUAUAAUAGAGAAAACAUAGAUCCAAGGUAUUUAGGGUUGCAUGUACACUUAGGAGUGUUAGAAUGCUCAAAACCCAACAGUGGUAUCAGAGCCUAGGCUUGUUUUCUUGUUAUACCUGCAAUAGAAGCUGAAAAAACGAAUCUGGUGCUGUCUGGCCAUCAGACUCGGCGAGUCCAUCAGGAGACUCGACGAGUCCAUGCCUAAAAAGUGAUGAAUUCGAUCCAACUCGCCGAGUUUGUUCAUGCACUCGACGAGUUGGACCCCCAGACAGCAUAUUUUCGAGUUUUUUGGCUAGAAAUGGACUAGGAACAUUACCCUAAGUUGUUUUUGAACUUAUAAACUUGUUUUUGAUGUGGUAAUGUUCAUGCUAAUCCAUUUUCAAAGAUAAUUGUCAAUAGAUUCAUGUUUUGUAUUAGUUUAAGGUUUAGACUAAUUACAUGAAAAAGUUUGAUUUGAAUUAUCUUGUUCUUAUGAGUUGCUUAGAUUAAUAGAAAUGUUGAGUGAAAUAGUUGUUUUCAAUCCAUUUUAAUCUAAGAGUUGAGUAUAAAAUGUGUUUGUGUAACUUGUCCUCAAGUUACAUGAAGAGUCACAUUAAAGACUCAUAAAACUCAUAAAAGUUGGCAAUGGUUACAAAAUGAAGAGUCUUGUGUCAUUGAAUAAUUUUUUUUGACUCCAUAACUUGUCCUCAAGUUAUGGAAGUUCAAGAGUCACUUCAUUAAAGAAAAAUAUGUAACCAUAAUUAAAUCCAUAAGUUAUAAAAUAAAGAAAAAGUUAGUUCUUUUAUUAGUUUAAAGUCUUCCAUAACUUGUCCUCAAGUUAUGGAACUUGAAGAGUUUUUGGAUUAAAACUACUUUAAACACAUAAGUUAUGGAAUUAAUUAGUUUUGAAUAGUUUCAAAACUUGCCCUCAAGUUUUGGAAUUUGAAAAGUUUUCAAGUAUGAAUACUUUAAUUCCAAGUUAGCCCUUAGAAUUUUAAAAGUUAAAAUUCAACCCUUAUACUUUAUAAUAUUAUAAGUUAAUAAUAUAUAUAUGUAUAAGAGUAAAGUCAGUCUUACCGCUAGUACGCCUCAUUCACGAAGCCGGUCUAUAAGGUGGGUAUAAGGUUGUUGCCUAUAAAAUGGCAACUUAAUGGGUGUCCACUCUCACCCACCGCUUGCUUGACUGGUGGAGGGUCGUUAGCCGAACGGGUUUGACAGGACUAGAAUUCUCCCUUCAUUAAAAGUAUUAAUGAUAAUACUAAGUAACUAAACUCUUAAUAAUACCCAAUCUUAGUUACUUAGGAAAAAUGUGAAUAAGGUGCUAAUCCAUGAAAUUACACUUUACACUUUGUCUAAGUCGUUAGUGGAGCGUGUGUGGUUAACCGGCACACUAACUUGGACUUAACAAGGUAGGUAAAGGGUGACUUAAUAUUUAUCAUAGUAUCGAUGGAGCGUGUGUGGUUAACCGGCACAUCGAUUGAGGGGUAAUUUAUUAAGGGUACCAAGUGAUUUGCAUGGUUACUUCACACCUUGUUUUGUGAUCCUCGGCAUCCCAGUCACAAAACCUGAAGGGCACACUCGAGAUUGAAACAUGCCUUUGAAAAGUUCAAUGAAUCUCAAAGAUCUAGGAGUUUCAAAACCAAUUAAAACCUAAUAAUACAUUUCGUUUAUCUUGGUGGAAAUUGGUGAAUCGUCAUUCACCUACCUUCAAAUAUUUUAUAGCUUGGAUUACGGCAUACCUCUUCUAAGUUAUAAAAUAGUUUGUUGGGUCCUAGCCUUAAUAUUUCAUAUUGGGUGUCAUAUUAAGGACUUUAAAUCAACUAUCUUGAAUAUCUCCCAAAAGAUGUCUGGUUUAGACACCUAUGAUCUUCCCAAAUCUCUUGAAACAAGGUUUCCUAAUGAAGAUGAUGUCCCAUGGAUAUCAUACUUCUUCACCUCUUCAAAUUAUUCUCCCUAACCCACAAGUUCUUGAAAAGUUUAAGGUCACUCAGGCCCUAUUAGCAAGGCAAGGUCUAGGUGUGGUCACAUCUUGGAGAUGUAGUCACAUAUUGACAAGCCGGGAGAGUUGGGUGUCAAAGUCUUGAGAAAGUUGGUGGUUCAACCACUUUCUAAGUCACAUAGUGAGUUCCUUUGGGACACCUAUGAAACAGACUAUGACAAGACCCUUAAUGAUCUUAUCUAUUUGCUAAGAUCAACUUCCUAAAACUUUAUGGACAUUGACAAUGAUGACAUUGGAUAUCCAGUAAAGCAUUCUCUUCCCAAUGGAAAGGGAUCGGCCAUAGUCAACUCGGUUGACCAAAUGGUAAAGAGAAAAGCUAAGUCUGUGAUAGUCCCGUGUACCAUUAUCAAAGGGUCCAUAUGUUUAUAUUGCCAAAGGAAGGGGCAUUGGUUGCGAAGCUGCCAAAUUUACCUAAGGAUGUUAAAGUCAAUAAGUUUGACUCUACUUCAGGUAAAGUCCACUAUCUAACUCUGUUAAGUUUCUAUUCUGAGAUUCUUGAUACAUGAUGUGACUGGGUCACAUGGUGAUGUUUUAAGAAUCAAAGAAAAGUGAAGAAACUUAAAGAAAGAAUAUGCUGAAUCUGAUGGCGUAGAUGGAUUUCUAUCGCAUAGUUUGAAGAUCGGAUUCUUGAGCUACUUCUUAGGAGUUAUGAGAUAUUGCUUAGGAAUAGAUAACAACAAGUUUUCAUAUGGAUUGUAAGGAUAAGUUUUUCCGCAAAGUUUUAAAAUAAAAGAAAAUUUUUUUGAUUUUAUUUAUUUUAAAAUAUCCUUACAAUGGCUUUUGAGGAAAAAUUGUUGCUUAUAUGAUUCCAUUAAGAGCAAGAGUGGAAAUAUGAAAUUGAUUCUUUCAUUUGUGGUAAUGUCUAGAUUUACCAAAUAAGGAAAGAUUCUCAUCACCCAAGUUUCAAUUGGACCGGAACUUGGAAUCAUGCAAGUUGUAUAGCAUGAUGAAUGAGAACUUUCAAGUUUUGGAAAAUUAAGACUAAUUACUUGUUCACAUGGAUGUGUGAGUCAAGUAAAGGACUAAGGGAUCGAGUACACAUUCUUGUGCACUGAUUAAGUCCACCACUAAAGAUCGAUAAGAAGAAUCAAAUAAGGCAGAAGGAUAAAAGUUUCUCAAAUCUGAAAAGAUGGGAGAGUACUUUAGUAUCAGUUUUGUGAUCAUCUUAAUGAUUAAGAAACCAUAUCAAAAUUAGUUCUCUAAGGAAAUCUUAGUGCAUUCUUAUGACUAAGAAGAGGAACUUGAAUUGUUGAAAUGGUUAAAUCAAGAAGAUGAGUCAUACUUCGUUCCAAUACAAGUCUUAGAGUCAUACUCCAAGAUUGUCAUUUGAGUGACAUGUCUUAAAGAAGGUUUAAAACACUUGUCAAAUGUAAGAGUAAAAGUUUUCUACUCUUGUACAUUUGAAAUUGGUAAGUUGUGAUGUUUUGGAUAAAACAAAGACCAACUUAGGCCAAUUGGGUAAAGUGUUUUUCUUGAUUAGAAUCCGCACUAUCUCUUGGAUGUUUGACAAGGGAGUCUUAUAUGUCAAGAGGACAGUGGGAGUCUUAAAGGUCUUGAAAGUCUCAAGAAAUAAUCAAGAAUAAAACCUAAAGUUCUUCACUAGCACACGACUUGAGGUUUAUAACCUAUCGUGUUGACAUAUCUGUGCCCAUUCCAGUUAAAGUUGGCUUUGCAUAUGAGUUCUUAGAGUUCUCAGUUUGUUGCAUAACAACUUGGAAGCAAUGGCAGGCCCUUGAGCUGCCAGGUGGCAAGAAGUUAAGAUUGAGUUCAAUCCAUAUGGUUUUGGAUUUGUCAUUAUCUUUGUCUUGUGAUUAUGGUUUGACAAAUUCAUAUGGGUAGGAACUCAUACACCAUAUAAAUCUAAGUGUCAUAAGGUUUCUCUCCGAUUCAUGAAAAUGAUGGUGAGGAAACGCUUUCACUAAGUAGAUUUUACGAAGAUAUCAAUUGUGUUAUUUGCAUUUUCAAAAGUCGUUAGUGGAGCGCGUGUGGUUAACCGGCACACUAACAUGGACUUGUGAGAAAUGGCAAAUGCCUAAGCAAUUGAGACCAUGAUUACGGUAUCCCUUUUCAUGGUUCUUGAAAUUGCUUAGACACACAGGUGAGCUAUCUACGGAAAGGGUGUAUGAAUCUAAAUUUCAGACUGUCCAGCUGAUUUCUGAGUACAUGUCAAAGCUAGUGGGAGCAUAAGUGUUAUGCUAAUAAUCAUCAUGUUAGUGGGAGCAUGAUAAUUAUGAUAAGUAUUGCAAGUUAGCAAUGUUAAUUAUAGAAAACAAAAGUUUCAAUUGGGAAAAAGUUGUUUUGCUAUAAUUAAGGGAGAGGAAAUUAUGCUUCAUCUCAAAUCUAUAAGCUUAGAUCGUGAGGUUUUAAUCAUUUAGUCAAGGAUAUAUAUGAAUUUCAUGUUGGAAUGGCUCAACAUAAGGAAAUUCUGUAUAUGGGUCCAUUAUUUGCGUUCUAAAAUUCGAUUAUGAUUACGGCAUCCCUUUUCAUAAUCUGAAUUAUGAGAACUUGGCAAAUUGAAAUGGAAAUAUUAUAGCAAAAGACUGGUUUAGUCUUUAUGUAAGACAUCAUGAAUCGUGUCCCAUAUGCUUCGGAUAUAGGAUCGAUUACAUGUGCUAUAUUCAUCCGUUCUAAAAUUUUCCAAAUGCCUGGGGCAUUAAGAAGGGAAAAGGUUUAGAACUGGAUAUGACUAAAAGGAUUAAACAAUUGUCGAGGACAAUCUAAGGUUUACCAAAGAUUGGUUACUCAAGGACAAUUGGAAGUAUAGUGAUAAUUCUGGAAGGACCAUAUUGACAUAAUCUGUAAGGAGGCAACUCUUGUUCAGAAGUGAUAGUCAAAAUGGAAUCUGGAAAUGUUUAAAAGUUAGAAUUUUCAAUCUGUUUAAGAUUAGGAAACUUAAUGCGAGAAAGAUGUUUCCAAGGAGCUGAUAUCCUUUGGAAUACUCUAUAAUGAUUAUUGUCAAGUCUUUCUGAUUUUGUGCAUAAUCAUUACAAGUGGAUCAAUGCAUAUAAGUUUAGAAUCUAAUAGAUUUCAGUAAAUGACAUGAAUUUGGAAUUCUUGCAUUUGCAGUAAGGAUUUGGGAGUGUGAAAAGAGAAUCAUUGAAGUUAUGUUCAAUUGAUCUAGUUCACAAAGUAAAGAUCAUAGACAAACAUAGUAUGCAUACUUGGUGUGUGGCAUGACUAGUGUUUAGAAAACAUAGUGUACAUGCUUGGAGCAUGGGACAACUAUUGUUUUAAAUUCAAGAAUAAAGAUGAUAGCUGAAACAAUAUACAAUGAAUAAUGUGUAAUCAUAUGGUGAUAAAUAAAAGGUGUUUUAUUUAUGUUCAUAGGUUUUGAUACCAUAUUGGAUUCAAUUAUUAUUUCAUUUUGCAUGUUAUGUUUUGACUUCCCGAAUAAACUAGGUUAUUCUUCCGGAAUGACUAAGUUAUUCAAACCAUCCACAGUCGGUCAUAUGUUGGAAGUAGAUAUGAAUUAAGACUGUCAUGGGUUGGCUUGUAGAGGUCUAAGGUGUUGGACAAAGGGCUACAACACUCAUGAGUGCUCAUAAGUUCUGAGUAUUGGAUUCAACCCACGCUCAUUGGAAUCACUUCAUUGAUUUUAUCACGAGUGAUCAUGAGACAAUAAUAUCUUAUAUUCUUCAAACCUAGAGAUAUGAGUUGUUACUAUGAGUUGAUAGUACAUUGAUUGCACGAAAACGCAUUUGGUAACUCGGUGCUAUAAAACGUGCCUUUGUGUAUGAU